CAGAGGGUGCGAGCGUUAAUCGGAAUUACUGGGCGUAAAGGGUGCGUAGGUGGUUUAUUAAGUUAGGUGUGAAAGUCCUGGGCUUAACCUGGGGAUUGCGCCUAAUACUGAUUGACUGGAGUACUGUAGAGGAAGGUGGAAUUUCCGGUGUAGCGGUGAAAUGCGUAGAUAUCGGAAGGAACACCCGUGGCGAAGGCGACCUUCUGGACAGCUACUGACACUGAGGCACGAAAGCAUGGGGAGCAAACAGGAUUAGAUACCCUGGUAGUCCAUGCUGUAAACGACGAGGACUGGCUGUUGGGUGCCAAGGGCACUUGGUAGCGAAGCUAACGCGUUAAGUCCUCCGCCUGGGGAGUACGGCCGCAAGGCUA
rnacentral:rRNA from 1 species